rnacentral:rRNA from 1 species
GUGAGUAGUUCAGAGUUUGAUCCUGGCUCAGGAUGAACGCUAGCGAUAGGCUUAACACAUGCAAUCGGGGGGCAGCAUGAACAAAGCUUGCUUUGUUUGAUGGCGACCGGCGCACGGGUGCGUAACACGUAUGCAACUUACCCAUAAAUCGGGGAUAACCCGGAGAAAUUCGGACUAAUACCCGAUGGUAUUAAGAGAAGGCAUCUUCAUUUAAUUAAAGAUUUAUCGAUUAUGGAUAGGCAUGCGCAUGAUUAGCUAGUUGGUGAGGUAACGGCUCACCAAGGCGACGAUCAUUAGGGGUUCUGAGAGGAAGGUCCCCCACACUGGUACUGAGACACGGACCAG